rnacentral:rRNA from 1 species
CCUACGGGAGGCAGCAGUGAGGAAUAUUGGUCAAUGGGCGCGAACCUGAACCAGCCAAGUCGCGUGAAGGAUGACUGCCCUACGGGUUGUAAACUUCUUUUAUAAAGGAAUAAAGUGAUGCACGUGUGCCUUUUUGUAUGUACUUUAUGAAUAAGGAUCGGCUAACUCCGUGCCAGCAGCCGCGGUAAUACGGAGGAUCCGAGCGUUAUCCGGAUUUAUUGGGGUUAAAGGGAGCGGAGAUGGGUUGUUAAGUUAGUUGUGAAAGUUUGGGGCUCAACCGUAAAAUUGCAAUUGAUACUGGUAGUCUUGAGUACAGUUGAGGUAGGCGGAAUUCGUGGUGUAGCGGUGAAAUGCUUAGAUAUCACGAAGAACUCCGAUUGCGAAGGCAGCUUACUAAACUGCCACUGACAUUGAUGCUCGAAAGUGUGGGUAUCAAACAGGAUUAGAUACCCUGGUAGUC